AGUGAACGCCGGCGGUAGGCCUAACACAUGCAAGUCGAACGGCAGCACAGAGGAGCUUGCUCCUUGGGUGGCGAGUGGCGGACGGGUGAGGAAUACAUCGGAAUCUACUCUGUCGUGGGGGAUAACGUAGGGAAACUUACCCUAAUACCGCAUACGACCUACGGGUGAAAGCAGGGGAUCUUCGGACCUUGCGCGAUUGAACGAGCCGAUGUCGGAUUAGCUAGUUGGCGGGGUAAAGGCCCACCAAGGCGACGAUCCGUAGCUGGUCUGAGAGGAUGAUCAGCCACACUGGAACUGAGACACGGUCCAGACUCCUACGGGAGGCAGCAGUGGGGAAUAUUGGACAAUGGGCGCAAGCCUGAUCCAGCCAUACCGCGUGGGUGAAGAAGGCCUUCGGGUUGUAAAGCCCUUUUGUUGGGAAAGAGAUCAAGCUGGCUAAUACC
rnacentral:rRNA from 1 species